rnacentral:rRNA from 1 species
UACGUAGGGGGCUAGCGUUGUCCGGAUUUACUGGGCGUAAAGGGCGCGUAGGCGGCCACCGCAAGUCGACUGUGAAAUCUCUGGGCUUAACCCAGAACGGUCAGCCGAUACUGCGGGGCUAGAGUGCAGAAGGGGCAACUGGAAUUCUCGGUGUAGCGGUGAAAUGCGUAGAUAUCGAGAGGAACACCUGCGGCGAAGGCGGGUUGCUGGGCUGACACUGACGCUGAGGCGCGAAAGCUAGGGGAGCGAACGGG